rnacentral:sRNA from 1 species
UAACUUGAUGUGAUGUGUAUGAUUGAGUAUAAGAACUUAAACCGCAACCGGAGCUUAAAAGCCUAAGUAGUGUUUCCUUGUUAGAAUAUACAAAGGCAAAGACUCAUACGGAGUUUAGCUACACCAUCAAAGCUUUGAGAAGUAAGAAGAAGCUUGGUUAAAA